CAUGCGCAGUGCUGACCAGUCUCGGGUGAAUUCGGAAGCGGGCCUCUGAACUCGUAUGGUGGCCGCAUAAAGUCAGACGGAAGCGGCGGUAAGAAGAAACCUCUGAAGCAACCGAAGAAACAGGCAAAGGACAUGGACGAGAUUUGGCCUUCAAGCAAAAACAGAAGGAAGAGCAGAAGAAACUUGAGGAGCUGAAGACCAAAGCUUCUGGGAAAGGCCCCCUUAG